UGGGGAAUUUUGGACAAUGGGCGAAAGCCUGAUCCAGCAAUGCCGCGUGUGUGAAGAAGGCCUUCGGGUUGUAAAGCACUUUUGUCCGGAAAGAAAUCCUUGGCUCUAAUACAGUCGGGGGAUGACGGUACCGGAAGAAUAAGCACCGGCUAACUACGUGCCAGCAGCCGCGGUAAUACGUAGGGUGCAAGCGUUAAUCGGAAUUACUGGGCGUAAAGCGUGCGCAGGCGGUUUGCUAAGACCGAUGUGAAAUCCCCGGGCUCAACCUGGGAACUGCAUUGGUGACUGGCAGGCUAGAGUAUGGCAGAGGGGGGUAGAAUUCCACGUGUAGCAGUGAAAUGCGUAGAGAUGUGGAGGAAUACCGACGGCGAAGGCCAGCCCCCAUGGGCCAAUACUGACGCUCAUGCACGAAAGCGAU
rnacentral:rRNA from 1 species